AUUGAACGCUGGCGGCAGGCCUAACACAUGCAAGUCGAGCGGAUGAAGGGAGCUUGCUCCUGGAUUCAGCGGCGGACGGGUGAGUAAUGCCUAGGAAUCUGCCUGGUAGUGGGGGAUAACGUCCGGAAACGGGCGCUAAUACCGCAUACGUCCUGAGGGAGAAAGUGGGGGAUCUUCGGACCUCACGCUAUCAGAUGAGCCUAGGUCGGAUUAGCUAGUUGGUGGGGUAAAGGCCUACCAAGGCGACGAUCCGUAACUGGUCUGAGAGGAUGAUCAGUCACACUGGAACUGAGACACGGUCCAGACUCCUACGGGAGGCGGCAGUGGGGAAUAUUGGACAAUGGGCGAAAGCCUGAUCCAGCCAUGCCGCGUGUGUGAAGAAGGUCUUCGGAUUGUAAAGCACUUUAAGUUGGGAGGAAGGGCAGUAAGUUAAUACCUUGCUGUUUUGACGUUACCAACAGAAUAAGCACCGGCUAGCUUCGUG
rnacentral:rRNA from 1 species